ensembl:lncRNA
AGAACUCAGAAACUGAAGUCGAAGAAAUGCGACAAUCAGGCUCAGGACACACCUUUUCUGCCAGAAACUUGCUUUGCUCCAAUGUGAAUGAAUUCAUAGCUAUCUUUUAAAACAGUAAGAAUGGUGAGGCACUGAAACAGAUUGCCCGGAGAGGUGGUGGAUGCCCUGUCCCUGGAGGCACUCAAGGUCAAGCUGGACGGGGCUCUGAGAAACCUGGUGGAGCUGUACAGUUAGCAUAGACAACUGACUCCAGCAAAUCACUGUCAUAUUUCUGAUAGAAUUCAAGAGGACAACCACAAUGACUCAUCCCUCAAGGUGCUGGAAAAAUGCAUGCUGUGAGAAUGGAGAUGCUGGAGAAGUGGAUGGCUCCUUUAUUUGCUGGAGAGGUUCAGAUGAUAUCAGUAAUGAAUGUCUGCUGGGAAGAAGACAGAAAGAACGAGCAUUUGCAUUUGCCAGUGUGCCUGCGAGGCAAUGAAGAACAGAAGCUGUUAUCCAGCGACGCCACAUGGACUGAAAUAUAUGCUUAAAUACUCUGAAUUAGGUUGGUUUCCUGACAAGCAAGGCAAUGCACUUAGGUGUGUGCUUAAAUUUAAAUAUGUUGUUAAGUCCUAUUCAUGCCAAAGAAAUCUAAGCAUGUGCUUAAAGUUGAGAAGUUUACUGAAUUGUGGCAAAACUGAGAGGCCUUUGUAGAAUUAAUUAAUCUAUCUGAACUACUUUUUAUGUAUGUGACCCAAAGAGAACUAUAUGGCUUCUGUGUGAUUUUUAAACAUAUCUUUCAGUUAAAUCAAGGGUCCAGACACAAAUGGUAGUACACAUUAUAUGGAUUUAUGACAUUCCCUGGAGGAUUCUGGGUCAAUAAAGCAGUGAAUGGAUGG